CACUGGGCUUCUGGAAGAGUGAGUUUUAAAAUAUAGCUGCUGGAUCCUCUCAAAUCUUCUCAGAGGAGCCUUGGGAGUCUGGGCUUUCCCGCGAGGUGAAUGUACAGAGUAUGAGCAGAAGGGGAGCAUGGGCGCCAGACAGACUGGGGUGAGGCCGAAAAGCAUGUGUCUUUCUGUGAGUUAACUCCUUUGGAACCAGGCUUAGAAGCAGGAAGUGGAGAGUGGAGUAAAAAGCCAAUAGGGGCCUCCUGUUUGAGGAACUAGGCGUAGACAAUGUGAGGAAUGUGCGUUGGACUCGACGACAGGAAAUGCCUGCCCUGAAGAGAAGCACGGAGCGAUGUAGCUGUGUGGCCCCAGAGCCAGGGCCAGACACUUGGGUAGAGACGGGGUUUCGCCAUGUUGGCCAGGCUGGUCUCGCACUCCUGACCUCAAGUGAUCCGCCUGCCUUGGCCUCCCAAAGUGCUGGGAUUACAGACGUGAAGCCACUGCGCCCGGCUGGUAUAGAUAUUUAAAAAAUAAGAAAGUUAGUUUCUGGGUCACGGGAAACUCAUGUUUAUGUUACCUAACAAAGGCCUGAAGUGGAAAUACUUCAUGUUGUUGAGUAAGCUGAGAGGUAUAGGCUUUAUAUAUCAGCCCUUAUUUUUCUGCUAAAACAUGAUUGUCAGGAAAUACCCAGAACAGAACCCUGACUCCAUUCUCUUCCCAUUCUGAUCCACCCUACCCAGAACCUUCAGAAUCAUCUAUCUCAAACUCCCUCUGAGUAUGGCAAAGACUGUAGAAGGAACUCUACUGCAUAUUUCAGCCUAGACUCCCAGCUGGGCUUCAUACUACCUUUCACAGCUGAUCCCUCUACCUAGUCAACUUCUUCCAGUCACAUUGGUUGCAUUCACUCACUGUUGCACAAAAGACUGCAGCCUGGAUCAAAUCUUUGUUCCGUAUGCUUUCAUCUUGACUUGCCAAUGGGAUUGCAAGAUCUUUGAGGGAAAGGAUUUAUGUCUUUUAAAAUUUCUUUCUUUUCCUCUCAGGACCUCAUGCGAAGCAUAUGGUAAAUAGUUAGUGACUGCUGCUUAACUCAGUUUAUCCUGACCAAUACACAGAACAGCACCAGCCACAAUUAGGUAUUUAAUAAGGAUAUUUUGGAUUGAGACAAGGAUCCUCUCAGAGUCAGACAUUGUCUUGGCAUGCCUUUUUUUUUUUUUAAUUUAUUGGGUCUCUGUGACUGUAGUCAGUGACUUGGUGUGUCUUUUGUAAUGACAACAUUAAUAAUAAAGCCUUCAGAUGA
rnacentral:lncRNA from 10 species